rnacentral:tRNA from 1 species
UUCCUGGUGGCUCAGAUGGUAAAAAAUCUGCCUGCAAUGCAGAAGAUGCUGGUUCGAUUCCUGGCUUGGAAA